UUAUUUUUAAUUAAAAAAAAAAGUCCAUAUGGAAAACACCGACGGCCUCCUGGGGAAGCCAUUAUCUUGAUAAUUAGUAUUCUUCUGUUGUUGCUCUUGAGAAAAUUUUCACGGCUUGCAAAGUUCUCUCUCACGGUUCCAUAAUCAAACAAUCACUGACUCUGUUUCUCUCUGUUCCUCACGCUUCUCUCAUCUCUUAGUCGCAUCUCUUUCUCUCUGGACGAUAUCCAUGAGAAACCAUAUCGGAGAUCCCUAUCGGAGAUGGCUCGCGCGAAGUGAAGUGAAAGGCUUUGAAGGGGAAGCAACAGAAACAUGGUGGUACUUCUUUUCUAUGGUUGAUGUGUCACAUUGUGAUAGACACUUUGAUCAACUUAAUGUGUGGCAUUCAGACACUACUAUUACUGGCAAAUGCUCCACGGUCGUAUAAUAUUCAGCCAAACAGAUGAUGUGGUUGAUAGGGAGGUUAUCCAAUAUAUUUUGGGUGGAAAGACACUGUUAUCCUGUAUAUUUCUUCUUUUGUGGUCAUAGGUUGGUACAGAUGCUUUGGAUAUGACAAUCAAGAAAUUCAGUGAUCCAAGUGAAAAAAAUCUAUUUUGCUUGAGGGCAACAUAAGUCAACUUACAAAACUCACAUUUCUGGAGUCGAUCGCCAUAUUAAAACCAUGACUAGAAUUGCAAAGAAUCUUCUUUUCUAAAAGGCUAUUUCCUUUUACACGGUGGUCUCCCCUUUUGACGUAAAACAACUGGAUCAAGUAUGGUUCUAAUCUCCUUUUGACUUUGAAACACCAUCUCCAUAAGUAGUUGAAUUAUGAUGAUUACUCACAAAACUAGAUUUAUUAUUUCCACAAUCAAUUUCAACUUCUUCUUUGAAUUUUCCUAUUAGUUCAAGUAGUUGUUCGACCACCAUAUCACACAUAUUUUCACAAUCAGUUGCCAAAUCAGCCACAUCAUUGAAGACAUUGAACAUUUUAUUAUACUGACAUGUUUCAGGCAACAUUGAAGGUUGUUAUAAUUGAUAAUCACUUUACUAUGGCACCUUUUCACAUUUUUGUUCCAUCUUCUUAAAAUGUACUUGUCUGAUAUCUCAUGGAUCUUUUCUUUCAUUAACACCACAAUUUGAUGCCUACACACUAUUCCCCUAAACUCGAACAAUCGACAACUACAAUUUGUGUCAAAGUUAUUCUUAUCAAAAUACAUAGUGAAAUGUGCUAAUCGAAGGUUCUCUCCAAAUGGAACAUCUUUACUUACUUCAUAUAGAAAAAUUGGGACCUUGUGUAUACAAAGUCAAAUUGCAAUGAAGGUGCCCUACAACCUCUUGUUGGAACUCUUUAAAUUUUGCAAUAGUGUAAGCUUUUUGAAAUUGCUUCUCAAAUGGAGAAUUAAAUUCUUCUCCAUUUUCAUUUUCCACCUUCUUCGCCAAAGCAUUCUCAUAUUGCUCCACAAAUUGUUUCAAAGUGGUUUUUGAGUUGAUGCACUCAUCAAAGAAUGCGUGCAUGCUUUCACUUCGUUGUGUGGUUGACAUUCUUGCCCAAAAAAUGUCUUUGACAAAUGUAGGUACCCAUUGAUGCCUAUCCUCAAACAAUCCAAAUAACAAUUCAUUGCUUUCAAGUUGAUAGUUCUCAAUGAACUCAUUCCAAUUUUCUUCAAAUUCCUUUUUUGUCAAGGAAUCAUAAAUUGCAUUUUGUAUACCAAAUUUUAUUGCCUCAUAUUCUUUGUAUCCUUUCAC